rnacentral:rRNA from 1 species
GACGAACCGUGCGAACGUUGUUCGGAAUCACUGGGCUUAAAGGGCGCGUAGGCGGGCUCUCAAGUCAGGGGUGAAAUCUUUCGGCCCAACCGGAAAAGCGCUUCUGAUACUGGGAGUCUCGAGGGAGGUAGGGGUCGGUGGAACUGGUGGUGGAGCGGUGAAAUGCGUAGAUAUCACUAGGAACGCCGGUGGCGAAAGCGACCGACUGGAUCUCUUCUGACGCUGAGGCGCGAAAGCCAGGGGAGCGAACGGG